AAGCCCAGACACUUCCUGAUGACUGUGUCUGGGGCAGGUAAGGUUAGAUCACAGCUCACAGGCAUCCCCACCGAGGACGAUGCCACGAAGACGACUGUGAUGCCUCCCUGCGGCCCCCAGAACGUGCCCAGCCCAGCAAGUCCGCUACAUACGAAUGAGUUCCAUUCCGAGAGCGUGUUGAUUUGAGGCCUUGAGGGCAAACAGAGAUAACUUACCACCCACCAAAGGGGACCAGUUUGAACCUAAGUUUUAGCCUUUUCCCAUGUUAAAGCCAACAGUGGUUUCAACGUAUGCGCUUUAUCCAAGUCAGUGCUGCCUCAUCAAAAUUUCUCCAAACCCACUUACACAACCCGAAACCCCAACACAUCCUGGUCCCUGUCGAGAAUUCCUUCAAGGGGGAAGGGGCUGCCUAAGCACGUGCCAAGCUGGGAAGCCAGCGCUUCUGUCCACAACCCUGAUUGGCCGCCCAGGACAUGCCGUGGACACCUGGGAAGGAGGCAACAGAGCCAAAGGGCUGUUCUUCAGUGAAUCUUCUCCAGAGAUGGGCCAUCAGGUUUCAGGGCACUAAGCUGGUGAGACAGUAGUUCUUGUACCAAAACACAGCAGGUGUGAUCCAUCUCUCCAGAAAGCUCCACAGGCAGUGACACAGUCAGGGCACGGCAGAGCCCGCCCUGAUAGAGCCAGGGCACUGCCUGUGUCCGCCACGCCCCUUGGCGAGACGGGGCUGGUGUGUUGGACGUACCAGCAGGACGAGCCCUUCUGCAGCCGCCACAGGGGUACCAAGCCAGGGGUUGGGUCUCUGGGUCCCUCCCUCAUUCUGCUCAGAAAGCCAGCACCCCGGGGCCCCAAAACAAAGCACAGGAAGUGCUCACCUAGGCGAUUUUCACACUCUCCCGGCAGCCAGGCCAAGGGCAGGAGAAGAAUUCGGGAAGUCCCAGGUUCUUUCCCGACAUCACACCCAGGACUCACACCCUGGACAAGGCGGGACCUGCCGGGCUUUAGCCUGGCACAGGAGUCUACACUGAUGUGGACCACUCUGUAAUCAUUCUGGGUAACGUCCCAGUCGGCGGGAAGCUCACCUUCGGGGCCACACUUCCAGCGGCAGGUGGGCACAGUGUGGAGGCAGCCAGCUUCCAGCCACUCCCGGGUCUGGCAGCAAGGAGGGGUGGUGAGCGCCCCAGCUUGGGCUCGGAAAGACCUGCCUUCAAAUCCCACCUCGGCCUUCUGUCAGCUGGGUCCUGAACCCAUCUGGGCCCACUCAUCCCUGGACCUUGGAUGCUUUGGGGGAGAGAGCUGGAUGAUUAAAUAGGAUGAUGACAUUAAAACAUUCUGCAGCAUGCCCCUAAAUGCUCUCGCAUUCUCCUCCUAGUUAAAUCCUCUCUUUAUAUCAAUGGUGACCUGCUAGGAAGCAGAGAGCUGAUAAAGCUGACACUUAAAACGGACUCACACACCUCCCAGCCUGCAAAGAGGCCAUUUCAUCCCCAGCAGCCGACAGGAUCUACAAAAGACCAGUGUUCGCAGACUCCAACCCUCCUUCUGCCUGUCUGCCCAGAAGUCUCUCAUCUCGAGAUCUGCCCACUAGAUGUCAAUUUCCACCACCGACCGGGAGAGAAGCUGCUGUCUGCCACCGCUGCUUGCAGGGCAGGCUGGAGGGAGGGAAAAGGGAGGGACUCCAAACCUUGUUUUCUUUCUUUCAGGGUUAGAUAAAAGGAGAAAAAUUCUCUUGAAGGUCAAGUAAAAAUAAAACGAGAAAGUACUUAUAGAGCAAGUUCUGAUACAGCGCUCUUGGAAUUCCAGGACCAACUCAGGAAUGUUACCUGUGGUUCUGAAAAGGAUGUACCACUGAAAGAUGAAGACUUGAAACCUAGGGUGUGGGAAAAGUCAAGUGCUUGGCCCUUAGCCACGGAAUUUCUAUUCCCCAAGUGCAUCAACUUGGCCUUGGGUGUGACUGGCCUUUACAAUCCUAUCAGCUUUGUGGGAUUAGAUCCAGCUCCAGGUCACGAACAACCACUGACCCUGACGACUGCCUUUCCUGUCUGCUUCUGCUGAGCUGGAGAAGGCUCCCGGUGUUGCGGGCACACCCCAUGCUGGAGUUUUUCUGAAGCAGUCUGGAAAAUAAUGGACUUCCUACAAACUUUCAAAUGAUCUUUGCCCCCAGGAACCGUCACCAUGGAAACAAAGAAGUAAGGAAAGCUGCUUCCCUUCACCUGCAGAGGAGUGUCUGGGGAGUAACAUUGGAGCAUCUCGGAACCUUGCCCUUUUCUUUGUUUUGCUUUUACUCUGUGUGUGUCACGUCUCCCAAGAGUGUUUGCAUUUACAUUUUUGAAAUUUAAUUAAAAUUACAAACAUAAUACAUUCCCAUGAAAAACACAGAUUAUUGUAGUUGUAGAUGAAGAGCGUUGCCUGUCAUAUCAGUAAACAAAGGAUGUCAGGGCCAUCAGGCCAGCAGCCACUGCAGUUCCCUGCCUGUGCACCCUGAGGGGACUCAAAACAGGAUAGUGUCCCUAGAUAGCUACGGUGCAUACCGAGGAAUGAUGUCAAUGAGCCCAGACUCUUGCAUCUUUCCCAGAGGAAA